rnacentral:rRNA from 1 species
UACGUAGGGCGCAAGCGUAUCCGGAAUUAUUGGGCGUAAAGAGCUCGUAGGCGGUUUGUCGCGUCUGCCGUGAAAGUCCGGGGCUCAACUCCGGAUCUGCGGUGGAUACGGGGCCGGCUAGAGGUAGGUAGGGGCAAGUGGAAUUCCUGGUGUAGCGGUGAAAUGCGCAGAUAUCAGGAGGAACACCGGUGGCGAAGGCGGCUGCUGGGCCUUACCUGGACGCUGAGGAGCGAAAAGCGUGGGGGAGCGAACAGG